GGUUAAGCGACUAAGCGUACACGGUGGAUGCCCUGGCAGUCAGAGGCGAUGAAGGACGUGCUAAUCUGCGAUAAGCGUCGGUAAGGUGAUAUGAACCGUUAUAACCGGCGAUUUCCGAAUGGGGAAACCCAGUGUGAUUCGUCACACUAUCAUUAACUGAAUCCAUAGGUUAAUGAGGCGAACCGGGGGAACUGAAACAUCUAAGUACCCCGAGGAAAAGAAAUCAACCGAGAUUCCCCCAGUAGCGGCGAGCGAACGGGGAGCAGCCCAGAGCCUGAAUCAGUGUGUGUGUUAGUGGAAGCGUCUGGAAAGGCGUGCGAUACAGGGUGACAGCCCCGUACACAAAAAUGCACAUACUGUGAGCUCGAUGAGUAGGGCGGGACACGUGGUAUCCUGUCUGAAUAUGGGGGGACCAUCCUCCAAGGCUAAAUACUCCUGACUGACCGAUAGUGAACCAGUACCGUGAGGGAAAGGCGAAAAGAACCCCGGCGAGGGGAGUGAAAAAGAACCUGAAACCGUGUACGUACAAGCAGUGGGAGCACGCUUAGGCGUGUGACUGCGUACCUUUUGUAUAAUGGGUCAGCGACUUAUAUUCUGUAGCAAGGUUAACCGAAUAGGGGAGCCGAAGGGAAACCGAGUCUUAACUGGGCGUUAAGUUGCAGGGUAUAGACCCGAAACCCGGUGAUCUAGCCAUGGGCAGGUUGAAGGUUGGGUAACACUAACUGGAGGACCGAACCGACUAAUGUUGAAAAAUUAGCGGAUGACUUGUGGCUGGGGGUGAAAGGCCAAUCAAACCGGGAGAUAGCUGGUUCUCCCCGAAAGCUAUUUAGGUAGCGCCUCGUGAAUUCAUCUCCGGGGGUAGAGCACUGUUUCGGCAAGGGGGUCAUCCCGACUUACCAACCCGAUGCAAACUGCGAAUACCGGAGAAUGUUAUUACGGGAGACACACGGCGGGUGCUAACGUCCGUCGUGAAGAGGGAAACAACCCAGACCGCCAGCUAAGGUCCCAAAGUCAUGGUUAAGUGGGAAACGAUGUGGGAAGGCCCAGACAGCCAGGAUGUUGGCUUAGAAGCAGCCAUCAUUUAAAGAAAGCGUAAUAGCUCACUGGUCGAGUCGGCCUGCGCGGAAGAUGUAACGGGGCUAAACCAUGCACCGAAGCUGCGGCAGCGACGCUUAUGCGUUGUUGGGUAGGGGAGCGUUCUGUAAGCCUGUGAAGGUGUGCUGUGAGGUAUGCUGGAGGUAUCAGAAGUGCGAAUGCUGACAUAAGUAACGAUAAAGCGGGUGAAAAGCCCGCUCGCCGGAAGACCAAGGGUUCCUGUCCAACGUUAAUCGGGGCAGGGUGAGUCGACCCCUAAGGCGAGGCCGAAAGGCGUAGUCGAUGGGAAACAGGUUAAUAUUCCUGUACUUGGUGUUACUGCGAAGGGGGGACGGAGAAGGCUAUGUUGGCCGGGCGACGGUUGUCCCGGUUUAAGCGUGUAGGCUGGUUUUCCAGGCAAAUCCGGAAAAUCAAGGCCGAGGCGUGAUGACGAGGCACUACGGUGCUGAAGCAACAAAUGCCCUGCUUCCAGGAAAAGCCUCUAAGCAUCAGGUAACAUCAAAUCGUACCCCAAACCGACACAGGUGGUCAGGUAGAGAAUACCAAGGCGCUUGAGAGAACUCGGGUGAAGGAACUAGGCAAAAUGGUGCCGUAACUUCGGGAGAAGGCACGCUGAUACGUAGGUGAAGCGACUUGCUCGUGGAGCUGAAAUCAGUCGAAGAUACCAGCUGGCUGCAACUGUUUAUUAAAAACACAGCACUGUGCAAACACGAAAGUGGACGUAUACGGUGUGACGCCUGCCCGGUGCCGGAAGGUUAAUUGAUGGGGUUAGCGCAAGCGAAGCUCUUGAUCGAAGCCCCGGUAAACGGCGGCCGUAACUAUAACGGUCCUAAGGUAGCGAAAUUCCUUGUCGGGUAAGUUCCGACCUGCACGAAUGGCGUAAUGAUGGCCAGGCUGUCUCCACCCGAGACUCAGUGAAAUUGAACUCGCUGUGAAGAUGCAGUGUACCCGCGGCAAGACGGAAAGACCCCGUGAACCUUUACUAUAGCUUGACACUGAACAUUGAGCCUUGAUGUGUAGGAUAGGUGGGAGGCUUUGAAGUGUGGACGCCAGUCUGCAUGGAGCCGACCUUGAAAUACCACCCUUUAAUGUUUGAUGUUCUAACGUGGACCCGUGAUCCGGGUUGCGGACAGUGUCUGGUGGGUAGUUUGACUGGGGCGGUCUCCUCCUAAAGAGUAACGGAGGAGCACGAAGGUUGGCUAAUCCUGGUCGGACAUCAGGAGGUUAGUGCAAUGGCAUAAGCCAGCUUGACUGCGAGCGUGACGGCGCGAGCAGGUGCGAAAGCAGGUCAUAGUGAUCCGGUGGUUCUGAAUGGAAGGGCCAUCGCUCAACGGAUAAAAGGUACUCCGGGGAUAACAGGCUGAUACCGCCCAAGAGUUCAUAUCGACGGCGGUGUUUGGCACCUCGAUGUCGGCUCAUCACAUCCUGGGGCUGAAGUAGGUCCCAAGGGUAUGGCUGUUCGCCAUUUAAAGUGGUACGCGAGCUGGGUUUAGAACGUCGUGAGACAGUUCGGUCCCUAUCUGCCGUGGGCGCUGGAGAACUGAGGGGGGCUGCUCCUAGUACGAGAGGACCGGAGUGGACGCAUCACUGGUGUUCGGGUUGUCAUGCCAAUGGCACUGCCCGGUAGCUAAAUGCGGAAGAGAUAAGUGCUGAAAGCAUCUAAGCACGAAACUUGCCCCGAGAUGAGUUCUCCCUGACCCUUUAAGGGUCCUGAAGGAACG
rnacentral:rRNA from 1 species